rnacentral:rRNA from 1 species
UACGUAGGGGCCGAGCGUUGUCCGGAUUUAUUGGGCGUAAAGCGCGCGCAGGCGGCUUGACGCGCCCGACGUGAAAGCCCCCGGCUUAACCGGGGAGGGUCGUCGGGUACGGUCAGGCUUGAGGGCGGGAGAGGGUGGUGGAAUUCCCGGUGUAGUGGUGAAAUGCGUAGAGAUCGGGAGGAACACCAGUGGCGAAGGCGGCGACCUGGGCCAAUAUUGACGCUGAGGUGCGAAAGCGUGGGGAGCAAACAGG